AAGUCGUAACAAGGUUUCCGUAGGUGAACCUGCGGAAGGAUCAUUAACACGUAUCCAACGUUAAAACAACCCCCGUGAACUUUCAGCCUGGUAAAUCAUUGUUGACCAGCUUUUGAGUCAGGGACCUCUGCCGAUUGUGAUAUUUUAUAGCUACGGUUGAGCGAUUGCAUCUAGUGACCUGGCCAAGUAAUCAGUGUCUGAAAGUGUCAUUGAUUAUGUAAGGAUGGCGCAGUCACGAUCGCUCACGGCCGGCGACCGGGUCACCGGGCUCUGCCCCUUUACGACAACACAGUACGAAUUGGCCGCGCGUGAAAUUCGCACACGGCACCGGGAUAUCUUGGUUCUC
rnacentral:misc_RNA from 1 species